CCCCCGGCACCCGGAGCAUCAGAGGGCAGCCUCAAACGGUGCCCCUCUGACAGGUCUCCAGAGCCUCUGCUCAUGCAGCCCCGUCCACCCACAGGACUCUGCUGGGCCAGGAGGCAGAAGAGGAAGCAGGAGAUGGGGCUGUCCUGGGCGAGGACUGCAGCCCACUGACCAGGCAGCCCCAGGGAGGCCAGGCUGCCCCGAGUCCCAGCCAUGCCAGCAGCCCCGGGGACUUGGGAUUACAAACGCCGGUUCUCAGACGCCGGUAAGAAAAGCGUGCGAAUCGGCAAAGCCAAAGGCAGGAAAACAUGUGUAGCAUGUUUUAGCUUAGAGCUUAGAAUCUCGGCUCAAAAAGAAUGCCCACAAGUCAAAAAUAAGAAGACCUGCAACCCAA